CUGUAAAUAUGGUCUGAGAUUCAUAUUGAACAUAUGUGCGUUCUCCUGUCGUACUGGCAUUACUGAUCGUGAGGUGAUAGAGAGAGAAGACGCUAUACUUUUGGACCUGUAUACCUGGUUUACCAUCACCUUGUGCCCCUUUGGGAGUACAAUUUCAAGUGGACUUCAUUUAUUUAUUUCAAGAAGUUCAGGUGGUGGAGAUAUGGCCAAAAUCAAGAUGAGAUGGAGAGCUACAUUGCUAUGUCUAACAGAAUUCCAGAAUUCCACGACUACUACUACUGCAACCACCACAACAGCAGCUACACAAACUACAGUGGCUGCACCUACCUAUAGCAGCACUAUGGGAAUCAUUACAGUUUGACAACACAAUUUCAAGACCUCCACAGAAUGCAUUCUGCUUGGGCAGCCUAUAACACACCCCCAACAAAAUCGGCUUGGUUUUGGGAAGGCAGAUAUUCAGCCAGACAAUCUCCAGAUCAGUG
rnacentral:lncRNA from 1 species